rnacentral:guide_RNA from 1 species
AAUACAACGACGAUGACUUGAUGUAGAG